rnacentral:lncRNA from 1 species
UUAUCUGUGAAGUCAGAGCAUCUCUUUCAAGUGUAAAUAAUACACUGGAUUAUUAUAAAGUUCCUCCAAGCAACAGUCUCCAAUGAUCACCCACCAUAUAAUUUUCCUUUAGUUCUCCAGUGCAUUGACAAUCCCAAGGAAAGCAUUCAUUUUAACCCCCAAAUUAAGGACAUAAAUAGACCUUUUAAAUAUGUGUUUUUACACUGCUUUUUAAAAACAUUGUAAACACUUAAAAAAUGUGUUAACUCAAGAGGCAGUCUUGGGAACAAUACACAACAGUCUGUGAUAUGUGGAUAUUAUGAUUAACAGCAUUUGAAUUUCUACAAAUCGCAAAGGGGACAUGUCCCUUUGAUGUAUUUGCAAACCUUUAUGUAAGUGACAAAUCCCUACAGAUAUUUUAAAGGCUUAUUAUAAGGAGAAGUAAUCUAUGACAAUAUAAUUUUCCAGUUGCUGGAAAUUACUUUCUAUUGGCCGUAAUGAAAGCACACGCCAGCCCUCCCCUGUGCUUGGGCUGCAAGGCGAGCAAGCUGGUAUUUGAUGCUGUGCACUUGGACGUCAGGCCUUGAACCGGUUGGAGGACUGCCUGGAGGUGCUGAGGAGCCCGCGGGGACACAGCGGAGUUCGGGGCUUGGAUAGGGGCACCCUCGGGCGUGCCAGGUCGCCUGGGUGACCAUCAGCUACAGUCCCUCAGGACAAGCUCCAGAGUCA